UACGGAGGGUGCAAGCGUUAUCCGGAUUCACUGGGUUUAAAGGGUGCGUAGGUGGGUCUGUAAGUCAGUGGUGAAAUCUCCGAGCUUAACUCGGAAACUGCCAUUGAUACUAUAGAUCUUGAAUUAUCUGGAGGUUAGCGGAAUAUGUCAUGUAGCGGUGAAAUGCUUAGAUAUGACAUAGAACACCAUUGACGAAGGCAGCUGACUACAGGUAUAUUGACACUGAGGCACGAAAAGCGUGGGGGAUCAAACAGG
rnacentral:rRNA from 1 species